UAGGGAAUCUUCCGCAAUGGACGCAAGUCUGACGGAGCAACGCCGCGUGAGUGAAGAAGGAUUUCGGUUCGUAAAACUCUGUUGUUAGAGAAGAACAGCGCAUAGAGUAACUGUUAUGCGUGUGACGGUAUCUAACCAGAAAGCCACGGCUAACUACGUGCCAACAGCCGCGGUAAUACGUAGGUGGCAAGCGUUGUCCGGAUUUAUUGGGCGUAAAGCGAGCGCAGGCGGUCAAUUAAGUCUGAUGUGAAAGCCCCCGGCUCAACCGGGGAGGGUCAUUGGAAACUGGUUGACUUGAGUGCAGAAGAGGAGAGUGGAAUUCCAUGUGUAGCGGUGAAAUGCGUAGAUAUAUGGAGGAACACCAGUGGCGAAGGCGACUCUCUGGUCUGUAACUGACGCUGAGGCUCGAAAGCGUGGGUAGCAAACAGG
rnacentral:rRNA from 1 species